UAGGGAAUCUUCCACAAUGGACGAAAGUCUGAUGGAGCAACGCCGCGUGAGUGAAGAAGGUUUCGGAUCGUAAAGCUCUGUUGUUGGUGAAGAAGGAUAGAGGCAGUAACUGGUCUUUAUUUGACGGUAAUCAACCAGAAAGUCACGGCUAACUACGUGCCAC
rnacentral:rRNA from 1 species